GGAGAGGUGGCCGAGUGGUCGAAGGCGCUCCCCUGCUAAGGGAGUAUACCUUAACAGGUAUCGAGGGUUCGAAUCCCUUCCUCUCCGCCA
rnacentral:tRNA from 1 species